AUUUUAUUUUCCUUUAGUUGAUUUCGUUUUUUCAGAGCCCAUAUUUUGAUUUCGGUAUCCCAAAAUGCAACUAUAAGGGGUAUUAUUGCAAACAUAACUC